GCUACUAUGGGGCCGGCAGGGGGGGGAAGACAGGGGGUGGGAGAGGUAAUCGGAGUUACUGGGCCUAAAGCGAGCGUAGGUGGCUAAUUAAGUCAAAUGUGAAAUCCCCGAGCUUAACGUGGGAAUUGCAUUCGAUACUGGUUGGCUAGAGUAUGGGAGAGGAUGGUAGAAUUCCAGGUGUAGCGGUGAAAUGCGUAGAGAUCUGGAGGAAUACCGAUGGCGAAGGCAGCCAUCUGGCCUAAUACUGACACUGAGGUGCGAAAGCAUGGGGAGCAAACAGGAUUAGAUACCCUGGUAGUC
rnacentral:rRNA from 1 species